AAGAGAAAUUCUUUGUGCACCACGCGCGCAGUGACCAGAAGAGAAAUUCUUUGUGCACCGCGCACGGUGCGCGGUGGUGAUUGGUUCCCGGGGGGAGGGCGGCUGGGGCUUGCGGAAUCAGUCACCGUGCGCGGUGGACAAAGAAUUUCUCGUGACUAGAAUUCUGGAAAUGGUUUAACUUAUAGUGUUAAAUGGGAGGG
rnacentral:lncRNA from 1 species